rnacentral:rRNA from 1 species
AACGCGAAGAACCUUACCUACCCUUGACAUCCACGGAACUUAGCAGAGAUGCUUCGGUGCCUUCGGGAACCGUGAGACAGGUGCUGCAUGGCUGUCGUCAGCUCGUGUUGUGAAAUGUUGGGUUAAGUCCCGCAACGAGCGCAACCCUUAUCCUUUGUUGCCAGCGGUCCGGCCGGGAACUCAAAGGAGACUGCCAGUGAUAAACUGGAGGAAGGUGGGGAUGACGUCAAGUCAUCAUGGCCCUUACGAGUAGGGCUACACACGUGCUACAAUGGCGCAUACAAAGAGAAGCGACCUCGCGAGAGCAAGCGGACCUCAUAAAGUGCGUCGUAGUCCGGAUUGGAGUCUGCAACUCGACUCCAUGAAGUCGGAAUCGCUAGUAAUCGUAGAUCAGAAUGCUACGGUGAAUACGUUCCCGGGUCUUGUACACACCG